UACGUAGGGGGCUAGCGUUGUCCGGAAUCAUUGGGCGUAAAGCGCGUGUAGGCGGCCCGGUAAGUCCGCUGUGAAAGUCGGGGGCUCAACCCUCGAAUGCCGGUGGAUACUGUCGGGCUAGAGUACGGAAGAUGCGAGUGGAAUUCCUGGUGUAGCGGUGAAAUGCGUAGAUAUCUGGAGGAAUACCGGUGGCGAAGGCGGCAUCCUGGACCGGCAUUGACGCUGAUGAGCGAAAGCUAGGGGAGCAAACGGG
rnacentral:rRNA from 1 species